rnacentral:lncRNA from 1 species
GGUCGGGGUCGAGUCCGGGUCCGGUUCCGAGCGGGUCCGGGCCGGCGGGCGGGGGAGAGACGGAGAGACACGAAAAAUGUAAGGGGGUCACUGCACAAAUCAGUCCUCAUCACCGAUGGGAAGACAUGCCCAUUAGAAGAGCACAGAACCCACAGCAGCUGUCUCUGCCUGGAGGGUGCGGCCUGGUCCUGCUUAAAGCCGCCUAUGUCUUGCAGCGGUGGACAGAAUAGGGCUUCAAGGGGGCUGAGUCUCAGUCCACACCAAGUCCCCGAUUCCCUGGGCAGCUGGAGUGAGUGCUACAAAGGGCGCCUGUGCUCCACGGCAGGGAGCCAGCCUGGAUCCAGAGCUGAGGGUCUGAGGGAGGUGGGUCUGCAGCCACAUCUGAUGGGCCUUCAGAGUCCCCUGAAGGAUCUGGGACGGCGCCUGCAAGAUAACACAGAGAGCAGCCCAGGGUAGGGACCAGGCGUGCAGUGUGACUCAGCUGGGAAGAGCUCCCCACGGUAGGGGGCGGAGGGGAACCCUCCACAGGGAUGCUGCCUGAGGGGGCUGCACGGGACCAUCCCCAGGCUGUCCCGGCAGGCAGAGGUCCUCACUGCAGUUCUGUGAUUUUAUGAGAAGCUGAAGGUGGAAGAAUAGCAGAUGAAUGAAGAGAUGUGAAAUGGCACCAAUGUUGAUAUUCUCCUGUGUCAUGCAUGGAAGCAUGACAAACAUCCCACGGGAGCAAGCGCUUGCGAAAGGCAGAGAGCAGGGCCAGAGCACGGUGACCUAGAUCCUGCGGCUCACCCCACCCCUCCAUCACAAAGAGCUCAGCGCUGGGCUCCAGGGACUGGCUCCAGCUCCCCACUGCAUCUACCUCCCAGUCAGGCAAGAGAGAUCUGAAAAUCACUCUGGAAUAAACAGGACCCUACUGUCCCGUCUUCAGGACCUCUGUUCCCUGGACCCUGGUGCUGCGUGCAAAUGCACUGCCUGUUGCACACCCAGGCUCCCACGGGGAAGGUGG